GGUGAGAAAUGUAACUUAGAAAAUGAUCUAUUUUUGUCCACACGGGUAGAGACACAAGCGUGUGUCUUAGCCGUGUAUGACACACGACUAAGUGAUACGACCGUGUGUCCCCUGUAUCUUCUUAAGAAAUGCAAGCUAGUAUGCUAACACGGCUUAGCACACGGGCGCGUGACUUAGCCGUGUGACCUAAGUCAGAGAGUUACAUGGGUACGGACACGAGCUAGACACGACCGUGUGUCCAUAUUUCGAAUGCCCACACAACCUGAGACAUGGGCAUGUCUCCUAACCGUAUGAGUCACACGGCCUGGCCACACGACCGUGUGACCCCUGCAGUAUUGAAAAUUUUAAAUAUUUCUAAAAUUCUCUGAGUUUCUGAUUUAGUCUCGACUUAUUUCUAAUAUGUAUUUCAAGUCUUAAGGGCUCGUUUAAGGGAUGGUAUAUAUGAUUUUGAUUGAUUUUAUUAUGAGUAUUAAUAUGUAAUGAAACAUUUAAAAUUUUUGUCUGAUUGAUCCGUAAACCCCAAUAAUGCUUUGUAACCCUAUUCCAGUGACGAAUACAGAUUAAAAAUGUUACAAUAUCUGAAUUAAAUUUUGGUUGAGUAUGAGAAUUCAUUGGGUCAAUGUGUUAAUUUCAACAAAUAUGUUGUUACUUUAACACUAAUGUGGAUGACCAGAACAGUGAGGCUAUAGUUGUGUGUUUAAGGGUCUGUUCUUUUACUGAUCCAGAGCAUUAUUUGGGUUUACCCAACAUGGUGGUAGAAAUAAAAAAAUGGGCUUUUCAGGUAUUAAAGGACCGUUUAAGAAGUCGUAUUGUUAGUUUGUUGCAAGCUAUUCCUACCUUUGCUAUGUCAUGUUUCUUAUUAUUGACACCAUUUUGUUUGGAGUUAGAACAGAUUAUUAGUCAAUUUUGGUGGCAAAAACAUGGGGAAAAAGAGGUAUCCAUUGGUGCGAGUGGUUAAAAAUGUGUCAACUAAAAGAGGACGUGGGUUAGGCUUUCGUAAUUUGGCAAAAUUUAAUAUUGCCUUACUUGCAAAACAUGGAUGGCGUUUGAUUAAGAUUUCGAAUUCCCUUUUAACGAGGUCACUCAAAGCAAAAUAAUAUCCGUCAAUGAAUUUUUGAAUGCUAAUCUUGGUGCUUACCCUUCAUAUACCUGCAAAAGCAUUUGGGCUGCGCGAGGUUUGCUCAAUUUAGGUUUGUGCUGGCGUGUGGGGUCGGGCACAAAUAUAAGGAUUUGGGAAGAUAUGUGGGUCCCUAGCCUGCCAGAAAAGGGAAUACCAGUUCCAGAAAGUAAUACGUUAGUAAGGCUAGUAUCGAAUUUGAUUAAUCCUCAAACGAGGCAGUGGAUUGAACAGAAACUCACCUCGCAUUUGACUGAUGAGGUUGCGAAGAGAGAUAUAUUCCUCUUGCUAGGAAUCUACUGGACGAUAUGGUGGUUUGGGGGUGAUGAACCAUCGGGUGAAUUUGCAGUGCAGAGUGCUUACAAGAUCCUCCUUCACGAGGAUAUUUCACCUGAGGUGCUUGGUACUUAAUUUACCAGAGAAAAUAAAGAUUACAGUUGGUGCAUCUUUAAAAAUUACAUUUCUGGAUAUCAUAGUUUGUACAAUAAGAGGCUGAGGAAUUCAACUAUGUCUCCAAAAUGUACAGGUGGCGCAGAGACUGUUGAACAUAUAUUUAGAGAUUGUUCUUCUGUAGAGGAAAUAUGGAGAAUUUUAGAUUUGAGAUGGCCUGAAAAUAUAGCUAAUGCAUCUUUACAAGAAUGAUUUACUUAUAUUUUUUCCAUGGUCCCAAGUACUACAUGCAGAAUUGUGGUUUGUACCCUCUGGUUUAUUUGGUCUGCGAGGAAUAGGCUGAUCCAUGACAAGGUGAUUCUUCUACCACAGGAUGUAUUUAAAAAAGGUUGAGAAUGAUAUGAAUGAAAAUGACGCAAUGCAGAAUAAGUUACCUGUCGGAAGGAUAGAGUAUGAGAGGUGGAGGCCCCCGGAUUCUCCUUUUCUUAAAAUAAAUUAUGAUGUUGCCUUCAAUGGAAAAGAAAUGAGGUCAUGUACAGGGAUUGUUGUCAGAAAUGGAGGGGGUCAAGUGGUGGGUUCGAGAGAAAUUGUUAAUUGCCACAGACCUACGGGGUUUGCAACGGAUGCCCUCGUUUGUCUUCAAGCGAUGAGCUUGGGGGUUGAUUUAGGAUUUCGAGAGGUGAUUCUGGAAGGUAAUGCGCUGUCGAUGAUUAAAAAAAUGAGAUCAUGC
rnacentral:lncRNA from 1 species